GCUCAGGAUGAACGCUGGCGGCGUGCUUAACACAUGCAAGUCGAACGAAGCACUUUAUUUGAUUUCCUUCGGGACUGAUUAUUUUGUGACUGAGUGGCGGACGGGUGAGUAACGCGUGGGUAACCUGCCUUGUACAGGGGGAUAACGGUUGGAAACGGCUGCUAAUACCGCAUAAGCGCACAGCAUCGCAUGAUGCAGUGUGAAAAACUCCGGUGGUAUAAGAUGGACCCGCGUUGGAUUAGCUAGUUGGUGAGGUAACGGCCCACCAAGGCGACGAUCCAUAGCCGACCUGAGAGGGUGACCGGCCACAUUGGGACUGAGACACGGCCCAAACUCCUACGGGAGGCAGCAGUA
rnacentral:rRNA from 1 species